UACGUAGGGCGCAAGCGUUGUCCGGAAUUAUUGGGCGUAAAGAGCUCGUAGGCGGUCUGUUGCGUCUGCCGUGAAAACCCGAGGCUUAACCUCGGGCCUGCGGUGGAUACGGGCAGACUAGAGGUAGGUAGGGGAGAAUGGAAUUCCCGGUGUAGCGGUGAAAUGCGCAGAUAUCGGGAGGAACACCGGUGGCGAAGGCGGUUCUCUGGGACGGUACUGACGCUGAGACGCGAAAGCGUGGGGAGCGAACAGG
rnacentral:rRNA from 1 species